GGCCGCGGCGCAGCCGAAAGUGACACACAGCUGUUGGCAACAGCUGGAUGCCCCCCGUGCGGCGGCAGCCGGGCCUCGGGGCCGCCAGGCAAAGGGGCGGCAUCAGAAGUGCCCCUCGGGGAGGCCCGGUGCCCUUCGAGGCAGGUUUGCUGCAAACAGCAAGUGCCAGGAGACAGGGUUCGGUGGGGUCAGCGGUGCCCGGCCGGCCGGAGAGCCCGCGGGGACGGCCGGCUCACUGGCUGCUGGCGGUCCUCAAAUGCUUCGAUUCCUCCACGAAGGCUUGUGGUCAAACCUCUGCAGCCUUCACUUACUGCUCUCUCUAGACUAGCAAAACUACUGUGCUGCAACACAUCCAUUUUUAUUGCGGUGGUGCUGGUAGUUGUGGCUCUUGCCGUUCGUUCGGUCAGAAGACGAAAAAAAAUGGAGUGAUGCCACUGAUGAAAAUGUGACAGUUUGGGAAAGAAGUGAAAAAGGAGUGUCUAGACAGAGCAUUCCUGGGAGAGAUGUGAAACUGAGGUUCCUAAACCCAUGGAAAUUUGGAAAUUGAACCAGAGUCACCCAUGUUUUGCCAGCAAGUGCUCACGAAGAAUGUUUGAACUGCAGCUGCAAAGCAGUGAUCUUCCAGGAACUGUUACAGGAAAAGGAAUAUGGUAAAGCACGAGACUUACCAAUUGCUAGAGCUGGUGACAAAAAAACACAGUAUUUGUGACAAGCAGACUGGGUACUGAUUAAUGAGUUUCAUAUUUAACAUGACUGUUUAUUGACUACAGUAGCUUGUUUCUACCAGGUAAGUAUUAAAUCAUGGGAUAAUUAUAAGUAUUUUGGUAGUGUAGUCAAAGGCACAUUAUAUUGAGGAUAGAGGAAGGAAUAUUGCACUGGUCAGAAAUGUGGGGAAAACAUUGUUUCAGACAGGUUGUGCCCACUCUAGUAAUUGAACGUGUCAAGGAAGAUUUCUGAGGAUAAACAACCUUGUCAGGAGUUCAAUUGUCAGAACAGCCUCUGGCAGUAGUUACACUGGCCAGCUAGCACUGUCCCAACAGCCCCCAGGCACAAUACAGAGGACACUCUGGAUCAAGGACCAUUUAAUAGGAUAUAUGAUGACAUUCCAUGCCACUUGACUCCAGGCACGUUUAAUUUCUCACUGCAGAGGAAGUCAGAGUAUAACAGUGUUUUACUGAGGAUUGUGAUCCCUUGUAGUCUCAGGCUGAGAGCUUUGGCUCAGUAACUCCAACUCAAAUAGCUCAUGUUUUUAGCUCUGGGCAUCCAGGGAGUGUAACAGGAAAGGUAAUGGGUCUCACAGCUAAGUGAGAGUAGCACUUCAGAAGGAAGUUUUUAGUGCCAGCAGGACUUUCUGCAGCAGGGUUGUACUCUUUUGAUUUUUAAGUGUGACUCUAAGCAGCUCUCAGAGAUGCUAUCACCUAUAACCAUUACCUUCCAUAUCACUAACUGGCUUUAGUAUCUUCCAGAAUAUAAACAGAAUGAAAAUAAUGGAAGCAGUCAUAUCAGCAUACUGUAGUAUCCAGUCACUACGUAUCGCCACAGAAAACUAAAUGCUCUCAUGUGGAGGAGAGAGAAUUUUCCCAGUGCUGUCUUUGCAAAUAUUUUUCUGAAUUUGCUUAUGUUUACCUUAUUCAUUUUCCUUCCCCACUUUCCUCCAAAGCAAAACAAUUCUUAUUGUGAAAACUGCCAGAGAGGAGGAACAGAUCUAGCACCUGAGUUGUUCAAAUAUUAAAAAUAAAAGAUAGCCUGUUAAGUACAAAGCACAGAAGGAACAAGAGAAAACUGUAUAUAAGGGGAGUGGAAAAGUGAUGAUAGUGGGCAAGUUUAUUCUCCUAUGUAUAUAUCAGUCAGGUCUCUAUUUCAGAACAAAUCACUCCACAGAACGAAAUUCCAGGCAGAAGGGUUAAUGGGAUAGCUGUGAGCGAGGGUACCCAGGGGUCACACACGCAGAUAGGACAUUCUAGCUUGUCUCUGUCCUCACCCUCUGCAAGAUAGUGUCAAUCAGCUGGAAACACAUCUCCAGAGCUGGCUGCUUCAUGGUAAGGAGAGUUUGUGACCAGAGCUUAUGUAUGGUUUCUUUGCAGGAGAGCUCUGUUAAUAUCCCUGACAGGAUCUCUUUAUCCUGUGCCUUCCUAAUCUGCAAGUCAACAGGAAAAGAGAGGGAAUUCAUUGUGCUAAAUUGAGUUCCUGCUGUGUGUGAUCGAUACUGGCUUUACUUUGUAAAGUCGCCUCUUUGUUUUAUCUAAACUUCAUGUUUUGUUUUGCUUUGCUUUGUUUUUCAAAUGAAGGAGAGAAAUAAUAUUGUUAUUGACAUUCUGGGAGGGACUUUUCUAUCCUAAAGCACCCUGGUAUCCAGCCCUCUCUCCUCAUUAAUCCUGCCCUUUCCCCAUGCCUGCUGCUCCCAAACCUUCCCCUGCACAUUAAGAUGUAGAAGCCUUACACCAAUUGGGAUAUUUUCCGUAUUUACUUCUACAGUCACUGAAGUCUUUUUUCAGUGUUUGCUGACUCUGUGCUGGGAAAACAUGGUUUCUCUUGAUAUGCUGCCUGAAAUAAGAACUCUUGGCUCCUCAAAGGAAACCAGCACUUCUGACUGAAGUUAAAAAGAGGACGACUUGUUUUGAAAUGUAAAGGUAACAUUGAAAAACAAAGGGACGUCGAAGGCUCUUGGUUCAUUUUUUUCUCAUUUACAAUCCUUCUGUACCCUUAGUACUACAGUCUAGUACUAAGACUAAUUAAAUGUAAAGUUCUGUAUAUGUAGGAAGUAAUGACAUUAUUUACUGACCCUUUCUGGCAUUAAGCUUCUUGAAGUCAUGCCAAACCAUCGCAUUGUGCAGCACAAUUGUGCUCCCACCAUUCAGUAUUUUGGCUUGGUCUGAAGUGCGCUGAGAGAGACAGGCAGCUAAUGCAAAGCUCUAAGGAACAAAUUUAGUUUCAUCAUUCUGGGUAACAUUAAAAGUGAGAACAGAGCAAUUUAGGAAACAGUGCAGCUUCACAAGAGAGAGCUCCCGAGAGCUGCUGCAGCACACUGUCUCAGCACUACAGGCUGUUUAUAAAACAGAGACUUAUGCAACAUAAAACCAUUUGGAUGUUGAGUUCAAAUGCCUCAAAACUGGAGACAUCUCAGUUCCUGCCAGCUACUCCUGUCUAUCGAAUAUUAAGGCUUAUUUGGGAAUUUGGUCUAGGUGUGUAUUUUGUGUCUCCCCGAAGGAGGAGCAUAUGUAAGGCACUAUGUAGGGCAUAGUGGUCAACCGUGUCUUGCUUUUUGUGAGAAAAGCGUUUGUCCUAGCUGUUCAGACAUUGUUUUGAAAUCGGAGGAUCUUGGUAGUCUAGCAGCAAGGACUGAUAUUUUAAAUGGAACAUUCUUCUUCAGUGUGUAAAGAACUGCAGUGCAGCAAGGACAGGAAAAAGCCUAGUGACUCCUCUGCAUGCUGGAGAGAAGGCAAACUGGGUCAUAAGGAACAGUAUCAGGAAUAGAAGAACAAAAUGAGGAAGGGAAGAGAAAGAGACAAAAUUGGUAAGAGGGGAGAAGAAAGACAGACUCAUGAAGGGAGGAACUCUGACCAUGCCCCACAGGGACCUCGAGCAGCACUCUCAGCAAUGAGCUUUAUGGACAAACACAAGUGUCAGCCUCAGCCUGACCCUGCAAGCUCCCACCAGCACAGGAUCCUGGCUAUUGCCUUUCCUUUAGACAGAUGCAAACCCCCAUAAAAGCAAAACCGGCCCCUGAUCCUCUGAUUGUUUUGAGUAUUUCUUUCCCUUGCUCUGAACUCUUAAUUUCAGCAUCACACAGAUUAUUUCCCUUCGAUAGAGGGGACUCUUGUAGGAAAAAUCUCUGAGGAAGAUGGCUGGCAUUGCUUCCUGUGGCAGAGUUGCCUCUGGUGUAAGAGAAGAAGCAAACUGAUAGUACAUACAUCAUUUUACUUCCCUUGAACUUGUCUUUCUGUAUUCUUGGAACUCUAUUUUUUUCUCCCGUUUUUCUUCCUGGUGACAGCGUGAACGAAUAGUUAUUCACAUCUUUCUUUUAGCUGGGUAUCUUAGGAAACUGACUUAAAAGGGACGGCGGCAUAAAUACAGCACGCACGGAAUAUUCUCUCUUCCUGUUCAGAAAUUCAGGGGGGAGGGAAAAAAAAAAGAAGCCAGGAUUAAACACCUGACCUCUCCAGUGGCAAUGCUGGGGCAGGGAGCGGCGCCGGGAGAAGAGUUCCGCGGGGCAGGGUGACCCCUGCCGGGGUUCUUUGUGCUGGAAUUCCAGGGAAAAUCCCAAGGCUGGAGCAGCAAGCUGCACUCAAGCCUGUGUGCUCAGAGGAGCUUGACUACGUGUUACAGCAUCGUGCACCGACCAUUUCUUCAUCAUGCAAGCAGGAGGCUCCAAAAGGCCUCCCCACACACAUUACCUGAGGCAACACAGGGUGAUUUUCAGGUUUUCGUCUCUACUGCUAAUAUAAUUUUUUUGCAAAACAUGCCAACUGGACCAGGCCUGGAGGUGGGCUGAAGGAGUAGGCUCUAUCUAAUGGACUGCCUUUCUCAGCUUCUCAGUGCUUGGUCUGUGAUUUGAGAGAAGAGUGGUCCUGUGCUACAGCUGGAUUUCCUUGGCUGGGAAAGUGGAAAGGAAGAAUGUAUCACCUGUAGCUGAAGACAUUUGCAGGGAGGAGGACAUUUGCAAGAGGAGCUCUUCAUAUUUGCAAGACAGACCCGGAUUGAUUCAUUGAUACAGCUGCUCCUUUUCUAGAAAACCAUUCUUCAAAAGAGCGGAGUGCAGCAGCAUGCUUCAGCCUCCAGGAUUCACACCACUACCUUUAGGAAGCAGAAGAACAGAGGGAGUACAGACAUCUCAGGACUAAGACCAAGACAGAGAGACUCAAAACCAGGGUUCUGUGGGCAUGUACCUGUCACCUUGCAGAAGAACCAUGAAAAAUACCUUCUCAGCUUGUAACUGGAUAAAUUGAAGUGAUUUGAGAGCCCCGCGACGCAGCCUGCUACAGGAACGGGGACUUCUCUGGAACACUGGCGUGCGCAGGGAUUAAUCCCGCCGUAGAGAGCCAGCCUGGCCUUUGAAGUGUUACAAGGGAAAGGAGGAGUCACAUUGCAGGCCAAGCCAGAUGGGCAAGCAAUACAAGCUGUGAAUUUAUUCUUGACCCCAUAGGACAGUGACCACCGUCAUUUUUGUCUUCGCCGUACAGUUAUGCACUGCCAAUAAGUGAAAAGGUCAAGAAAAGCAGUAGCUCAGUGGCUGAAUUUUUCUGAAGUGCUUUACAGCAGGGAAAGUGGGGAAACCUCUUAAAGUGGUGUCUUAUUCAGUUCAGAAGUGGAGGGAUCCUAACAGUGAGGAACCACCACUGCAGGUUGUUGAUGUGGCCAGGGCAGCAUUUGGAUUUUGCAGGUGGAGUUUGCCGUGGGAUCUGCUGUGCUCAGAGAGGCUCAGCAUCAAACCCCUCUUGUACUGCAACACACAACUUGCUGUGGGCUUGUGGGAGCCAAAGGUGCCCUGGGGUGAGGCAGCAUCAGCCGAGUUUUUCCAGGGGCAAAGGAUGCUAUAGGAUCCUGGAGCACAGGGAAAGAGUUUUAAUGCAAAAUACCAGAAAAAAAAGUCUGCAACAUCUCCUGUGAGAGGGGGGAAAAAAGGAGAUUAACAAUUGCAUCUUGAAACACUCAUGAUUUGAGGCCAUAUGUGUCCUUUGAACUCUGAAGAAGCUGUGCCAAAAGGAAGCCUUCUUCUCCUCCCCUCCUCCCAUCGUGGAGCCGCUCUUAGAUAAUUGCAAUUAGCAGACAAUGCGGAGCGAACGCAAAUGUGAAGUUCGUGGCUCUACCUUACUUUAUUUGAAAGAGGAAAGCCAGUGAGGACCUGUGAACAAUCCAGCAGCUUCUGAAAAAUCUUCAUGCUAAAGGAUAAUCCAGAAUUCCCUGAAGAAGAACAUAGUGAAUGUUGUUUUUUCACUUGAUUUGCUGUCCCUACCUAAGCAUACAGUUCCACUUCUUGCUGUUUCAACAAUCCUCUCCUUGCUCUGGAUCACUGGAAAGUUAUGCAGUAACUUCUCGUUUGCUUCUGCAGUGAUGACACUGGCAGUGUUGUAACAUGAGAAUGUUUUUGAAGCCUGAGUGUGGGCAUAUGAUUGUCAAAGUUAAGGGGUUUUAAUAUAGAAUUUGAACCACACUGCUUCAUUUAUGAGAGAUUUUCUUUGUCAUCCAUAAAAUGAGGAAGGUAACCACAUGAAGUUCCUCGUGAAUCAUGGGGAUUGCAGAGCCAGAAGUCCUUUGUCCUUCCAAAGCAUUGGUUUUUGUGCCUUUUACAAAAAAGAAAGUCAGUCUGUCCAGACUCGCAUGAAUCUGUAUUUUUUUACCUCUCUUAAAUGUUCAGCGGACAUGAAAAACCUUCCUCUGUGUAGCAGUGGAAAUACCAGUGCAAGUAAAAAAGAUUCCAGUGUUCGUUUUCCCAUUCAUCACAGUUCUCGGAGAUUUUUGUGGAAAAUUCACCCCUGAGGACUAAACUAAACCUAGAUUAUGGGAUUAAAAAAACCUGAAGCACUGUUUUGGGGAAUUUCUGAAAAGUCCCUUGUUCCCAGUGAAAUCUCUUUUUUACUCUGCUUCCCAUUUUGCAGAAAGCACAUUCCUCACACCAGCGUUGCCAUGCUCGUCAGUUCAGCAAAUGUUUCCUUGGCAUUGCACUUGCUGUUUUUGAACCAUGAAAUGCUUUUAGGUAAAGUUAUCAUAAUAUAAACUGAAAAUUGACAGGCUGAAUAGUUGUGGUUAGUAUGUGCUAUAGUGGUGAUGACAUGGGAAAAUAUGUUGUUUUUCUCCAGAUGACUGUUUGAGGUUAGUUCUAGACCAUUUUGUUCAUGAUGCGCCAGCUAAAAUUAAGAGAGCAUGGCUUUGAAGUAAGCAAGUUAAUUUGAUUUUUUUUUAAAACCUGAUAAAGGCCUGUUUUCAAACAAUAGCUGUUGCUGUUAUUUUGGGAAUUAAGAAGAACAGAACCAGCCAUUAAAAGGAGUAAAAGGGUAAAAGGACUAAAUUCCCCUUUCCAAGAAGUCUGUCUUGCUGCAUAAUCUAACCAAAGGUGUCUCACUCACAGCUCUGGCAGAGGCACGGCGUGGCCUUCAGGGCAAAAGUCGACAGAGUUCAGAAGCCUCUUGUUCAGCAGAAAGUGGCAGUGUGAUAGCAGCAGGCAAAGCUGGUGCUUUCUGCUGGCAGCAGGAACAGCAUUCCACAGACCUGUUCCUUAGGUACCUUUCUGGUAUUAACAACUAGAGUGGUGCAGCACCAUGGCAGGAUGGCAGCUCAGCAUCACUUCAUCAGUGUGGGACAAGCUACAUGGACCACAAGAUGUCACAGUGCUGAGUCAGGCAGGCAGUGCUCUAAAGAACCACAGAAAUUCGUGCCCUGUUCAUAAGAUAGAAGCAAAAAAAGGGAGCCAUUAGGCAGGAGGGGAUGUUGGAUGUCUUCAUAUCUAAUGCGAAAAACAAAGGUGACUCAAAUAUCACUUUCUUCCCAGACAGAAGUCUUUUUGGUGUGGGCUGCCAGUUGGUUUCAGGAGUGAUAUGCAAAACACAUUGAAUUUGUGAGUGGCUAAAUCAUAGAUUCUUUUUCUUUCAUCUGCCUCCGUGUCACUUUGUGUUGCAAGGUUGCAGCUGCAUGUAAAAGGCUUGACCUAUUUAACUGAACCCUGAAACAACUCCAAUGAACUGCAGCAGAAAGAGAAGCAGAGCAAAGUAGAAGGUUAGCAGAAGACUCAUUAACCAAACUCACAUUUUGAAAUAAACUCCUGCAUUUCUGGAAAAGACCUAACUGCAUCUGCUACACCAAUGUGUGAGUUUGGUUUAAAUUUGCUCCAAGGUCUUUGUAGUGUUUGAGCACGGAGAGACAAAUUAGCUGUGUAGGAGCAGCAGCCUUAAAGGUGAGUGUGCUUGCUUUCACCCCAGCUGAAAUGCAGACCCAAAGUAAGGCUGUUAGGACAGUCCACUCCAGUGAAUAUUUUUCUGAUAUUUCUAUUUUUUCUUUGCUUGCAUGGGUGAAUCUCAGCUCUUUUUGGGAUGUGAAGAAGACUGGGCAGUAGAGCAUGCUUGCAGACAUCUUCCCUGCCUGGGAGCUAAGGUGCCUCUGAGGCUUCUUGAAAGUUAGACCAUGCUGACUUUUGUGUGGUGCACUUUAGCCUCAGCAAACAGUAAGAGCAUACAGUAUGGGUGGCUUGUUUCUAAAACUCUGCCAAAGAGCCAGAGGUGGAGAUAGUCUUCUAAUGCUAAUAUUCUCCUAAUUCUGACAAUCUUCUAGUGACUCCUGAAGGCACCACUCCCUUUUCUCAGCAAUUCUUUUUUCACUCCCGUGUGUACUUAGUACUGGCCAGUACUCUGAGUAGUUUAACUUUAAGGCCCAACUCAGAAAAGUUCCCAUUUUCCCUACUUCUGAUGAAAAAUUGUAAAAUAUUUUAAUCUGUUUCAUUUAUGUGAAAUUUUAUAUUUGAAUGUUUCAGUAAUGGGAUGAUAGCAUUUUGAUUAAUAUGAUCUUAUAGUCUGCCCAGUACAGUUCAAUGAAGUUAAGCAUAUAGAAUAUAAAUAAAACUACCAACUUAGACAAGGACAAUCAGUUGUUAUGAUCAUCCAAAUGGUGACCUUUCAGUCUUGGCAUUUGAGUAUCCAGAAAUGAAGGCAGGUGGAAGAGCUAGCUGCUUCUCUCAGGCAGAUAUCCUUCAAAGGGUACUUCAAAGUUCACCACAAGGAAAAAAUGUGUUGUUGCACAUUGUGUAUCUAAAAUAGGAGAUGAGAUUUUGGCAAUUCCCUGGAUCAGUUACUGACAUGUUUAUUUUUUCUUUUCCUGGGCCUUUUACCCCACUUUUUUCAUUCAUUGCGUGAGAGUCCUGUUUAUAAGACAGAAGCAAGCAAACAGAGCGGUAGAUAAGAGGGCUUGCUUGUGUUGAUGUGUUUAAUAGUAAAAACCAAAGUGACUCAACAGUCACCUUCUUCAAAAAUAGGAAUGUUUUUGGUGAGGGCUGCCAGUGCAUGGUAGGAUGUGGUGGCUGAUCACCUGUGCCUUUUAUUUCCAUGGCUUUGCUCCCUGUCUUCAGGGCAAACACUUGCACAACAGUUUGGUCAAACCACUACCCAGGGACAGGGCCUUUUCCUUGAAAUUAUGCUGGGAGGAAAUUCACACACACGCAGUGGGAUGCCGAGCACAGUGGGAUUCCAAUCCUGACUGGGGCCUCUGGGCACAAUGCUGUCAUAAAUUUUAAGUAAUAAUAAUACUGUAAAAAGUUAAAUAAAUGUGUCAAGUUAAUUUUAUGCUCCCCUCCCCUCAGGCAAAUUAUCAUAAAUUGAAUUUUGUAAUAAUUAGUCCAAGGAGUUAACACCGAAUAGAUAUACCUGAUUUCUGUGAAUUGUGUUAAUACAUGGAUGACAGAUUCUGCAAGGAGCAGAAAGACUUCCAGACUGACCUGUCAGGAUCAGCUCCAGUUGUACAGAUACUGUAAGACUGCCUUUGCCAUUAAUUGGGUUGAUUGUAGGCUACAAGUAUAUUGCCAUACAGUUCAGAUUUUGGUCCCUUACAUUUACAGCCUUACAAAAUAAUACACUGCACUGUGUGCAUUGGGCUUGUUAAACUGUUGUAAUAAAGCAUUUUACAAUUCCAGGCGGCCCUUCCCAAACGUAUUGUAGAGCCUAUUAACAAACACCUGUCAAGUUCAAUUGAAAUGUCUGAGUGGUCUGAUCUACAGCAUCUGCUGCCGUGCCAGAGAAAGCAGGGCUUGCACAGCGCCAAGCAGCGUGCCCAGAGAUGGGUUUUUUGGGAGCUCAAAAGGGGGGCCUCAAGGAGCUCUUGGCUUGCCUUUCAACCCGGUGGAUUUUGGUAGUAAGUAGUGAGGAAAAAACGCACUCUCCUUUCCCUGUCACUCGGCUGUGACAUCAGUCUCAGAGCAUUUCAAGCUUUUCAUUCUCUUGCUUUUUUCUCCAUUUUUUCAAGUGAGGAUACAGAAGUGUAAACAGAUCUUUUUCUCUGCUGCUGACUUUAAUGAGGGCUGGCCCCUGCUACAUGUGUGAAAAUUUCUUGGCUAGGAAGGAUCUAAUGUUCGUUCUACCGUAGCUUUGGAGAUAAAGUCCAAACUCCCUAUUUGCUUCUCUUGACAGAGAGUGCUACUUACAUGCAUUUGCUUCCAGAGAUUGAGCUUACAAAAGAGGAGAGAGGGAAAAUUAGCCCAAUAGCAUCUCAGAAAUGUUUGUGGAGGGUUAUUUGUUUUGUGUUUGGGGAUUUUUUCCUUUUUUUUU